GAUGAAGAACGCAGCGAAAUGCGAUAAGUAAUGUGAAUUGCAGAAUUCAGUGAAUCAUCGAAUCUUUGAACGCACCUUGUACCCUUUGGCAUUCCGAAGGGUAUGCUCGUUUGAGUGUCAUUGUACUCUCACUCUCCCGAUGCUUUUGGAUCGGGAGUGGUGGACUUGGGUGUUGCUGCUUUGCUGUGGCUCGCCUCAAAUGGAGUAGUGCAACUCUUGGUUGGACAUAGUACGGCGUGAUAAGUGUCUUCGCCGGCGCCUCAUUAUAGAGGGUGGCCGAUCGGGAGCUCUGUGCUUCAAACCGUCUUCGGACAACAUCUGACAACUUGACCUCAAAUCGAGUAGGACUACCCGCUGAACUUAAGCAUAUCAAUAAGCGGAGGA
rnacentral:misc_RNA from 1 species